CAUAAACGUGACACGUUGUUCUCUAUCGUUCUUCUUCCUCCUGUUUUUGGUCCCUUGGCUAGUUACCGGUGGACGAUGAAUCUCCCCAUUUUUCUGGAACGGUUUGCUACUAAAUAAGCUCAUCAAGCUGAUCCAGUACUGACCGUACGAUGGCGUCGCCGUGCAGAGAUCGGAUGGCGGAGUUCCGGUCACUGUCUCAGACGUUGAAGAAGAUCGGAUCAAUCUCGUCCGUCCAUCGAGCCGACAAUGACCCCGCAUCCUCCAAACAUGGCUCUUCGCGAUCCCAAUUCAACAGGAAGGCUUCUCGGAUCGGAUUAAGUAUCCACGAAGUGUUUCAGAAGAUCGCCAGGCUCGCCAAAUGAAUUAACUGCAUUGGUAAGGAACGAUGUUACGGGACUGAAUAUGGCACUAUCUGAUCUGCAAACCCUUCAAAACAUGGAGAUUGCUGAUGGGAACUAUUCCGAAGACAUAGUUGGUCAUUCCACUGUUGUUUGCAAUGACUUGAAAACCAGACUUAUGGGUACUACAAAGCAGCUUCAAGAUGUAUUAACUACGAGAUCUGAGGUCGGUCUUGUAAAUUGUCAACUUAGUAUUGAUUGAUUGUCUGUCUUCUACAUCAUCUUAUUCAGAUUGUCUAUGGUCCUGCAUAACAUCAAAGCUCAUGAAAAUCGGAAACAAAUGUUUUCUACAAAAAAUGCAUCCAAAGAUAGUCAUCCUCAGCACGAUAUAAAAACUUUGCCUGAGCCUCCUCCAUGGUCAAGUCCAUCAAAUCCAUCUGAUGUUCUGCAACAGUCAGUGGCAGGAAAUCUGACUAGGCUUCUCUUCCAUAUACUACCAGAUUACUGUCACAUAAUGGAGCUCUUAUCAACCAGCUGAGAUGAAGACCCGCC